UACAGAAGAUGCGAGUGUUAUCCGGAAUUAUUGGGCGUAAAGCGUCUGUAGAUGGAAAUUUAAGUCUUUUAUUAAAUAAAUAAGCUUAACUUAUUUGCUGUAAAAGAUACUAUUUUUCUUGAGAAUGAGAUAGGUAAAAAGAAUUUUCAGUGGAACAGUGAAAUGUGUAGAUAUUGAAAAGACUACCAAUGGCGAAAGCAUUUUACUAGAACAUUUCUAACAUUAAGAGACGAAAGCUAGGGGAGCAAAUGGG
rnacentral:rRNA from 1 species